CCUACGGGUGGCAGCAGUGAGGAAUAUUGGUCAAUGGCCGGAAGGCUGAACCAGCCAAGCCGCGUGAAGGACGAAGGUGCCAAGCAUUGUAAAUUUUUUUUGUAAAGGGACAAAAUCAGGCUCGAGAGCCUGACCGAGGGUACUUGAAGCAACAGCAUAGGCUAACUCCGUGCCAGCAGCCGCGGUAAUAUGGAGGAGGCGAGCUUUAUCCGGAUUUGGUGGGUUUAAAGGGUGCGUAGGCGGACUGUUAAGUCAGCGGUAAAAGCCCGGGGCUAAACCCCGACGAGCCGUUGAAACUGGCUGGCUUGAGUGGUCGAGAGGUAUGUGGAAUGCGCAGUGUAGCGGUGAAAUGCUUAGAUAUUGCGCAGAACACCGAUUGCGAAGGCAGCAUACCGGCGGCGAUCUGACGCUGAGGCACGAAAGCGUGGGGAUCGAACAGGAUUAGAUACCCGAGUAGUC
rnacentral:rRNA from 1 species